AGGGUUUGAUUAUGGCUCAGGAUGAACGCUGGCGGUAUGCCUAAUACAUGCAAGUCGAACGGACUGACCCUGAACUAUGGAAGUGCUUGCACAGAAGUAGGGAAGGAAUUUUCAGUUAGUGGCGGACGGGUGAGUAACACGUAGGUAAUCUACCUCAUGGACUGGGACAACUGUUGGAAACGGCAGCUAAUACCGGAUGAAAUUACAAAUCGCAUGAUAUGUAAUUAAAAGUUGGGCUACAACGCUAUGAGAUGAGCCUGCGGUGCAUUAGCUAGUUGGUAAGGUAAAAGCUUACCAAGGCGACGAUGCAUAGCCGGACUGAGAGGUUGAACGGCCACACUGGGACUGAGGCACGGCCCAGACUCCUACGGGAGGCAGCAGUAGGGAAUUUUUCGCAAUGGAGGAAACUCUGACGGAGCAAUACCGCGUGAGGGAAGAAGAUUUUCGGAUUGUAAACCUCUGUUGUAAGGGAAGAACGACAUUAGGAAGGAAAAUCUAAUGAGUGACGGUACCUUACCAGAAAGGGACGGCUAACUACGUGCCAGCAGCCGCGGUAAU
rnacentral:rRNA from 1 species